rnacentral:rRNA from 1 species
AACGAACGCUGGCGGCAGGCUUAACACAUGCAAGUCGAGCGAAGACUUCGGUCUUAGCGGCGGACGGGUGAGUAACGCGUGGGAACAUACCCUUUGCUACGGAACAGUCCCGGGAAACUGGGUUUAAUACCGUAUACGCCCUUCGGGGGAAAGAUUUAUCGGCAAAGGAUUGGCCCGCGUUGGAUUAGGUAGUUGGUGGGGUAAAGGCCUACCAAGCCGACGAUCCAUAGCUGGUUUGAGAGGAUGAUCAGCCACACUGGGACUGAGACACGGCCCAGACUCCUACGGGAGGCAGCAGUGGGGAAUCUUAGACAAUGGGGGCAACCCUGAUCUAGCCAUGCCGCGUGAGUGAUGAAGGCCCUAGGGUUGUAAAGCCCUUUCAGUUGGGACGAAGCUACGACGGUUAAUAGCCGUCUGGGGUGACGGUACCUUCACAAGAAGCCCCGGCUAACUACGUGCCAGCCGCCGC